GAGGAAGUCGGGCUCCAAGAGCGGGUGGGUGCACCUCGGGCCGCGGGACUCGCCGCUGUUGCUGCCGCCGCCUCUACAGCCGCGUCAGAACUGAGAAGAGGAAGGGGAGGAGCCGAGUGGAGCCUAAGCUGCCGCCGGAUCCUACCCCUGACCCGAGGGCGGCGGGGAGAGUGUGCUCUGUAGCGGUUUCCUUCCGAGCAGGUGGUGACUGCUCCUUGGAGAGCAAGGAGGAGGCCUGGGCCGCCCGGCUGCGGUCGGGCGCGCACCACCCGAAGGUGAGGCAUUUGGCCCCCAGACGGUCCUUCGGAGAGCCCAGCUGAGCGAGAAGUUAUCUUACAGCUCUGCCCGCUGCACCUGCUGGAGGGAGCGAGCGCCCCACCCUUUCCGCGGUGUGGAGCGAGACUCAGCGCCAGAUAACGCGUGGUCGGGCCGAGCAAAUGUUUGAUGAAUGAAAGAAUGCCUCACUCGUGGAGUGCAGAGGAGUCCGACGGAAGUGCAAGCGCCUUGCCGACUGCGUAGCGUUGUCAAGAUGAGCGUUGUCAGGCGUCCCUCUUCCCUCAGUCCCCCCGCCUCCGGAGGAAGUGGGGGUGCGGCUUGAGUGAGGAGUCACAGGCUGAGUCUAGCGAAACAGGAGGCGAAUUGCCGGGACGAGGGAGGGGAGCCAUCCUCCCGGAACUGUGGAAGGGUUUUUUUACUUUUUCAAGAGGGCGAAUUUAGUAGCGACUCCCUUUUAGGACUCAGUCUUGCUUGUGGCUUGGUGCCUGGGAGAGCUGGUGUUGGCUGUUAAUCACUGUCCAUUACCGUCGUCAAGAAACGUUGGCCUGUGUGUCAGAUAAACAUGAUUACUCUUUAUGCAGCUUUUCCUAGAAAUGUUAUCCUGGAAAGUAAAUUCACGUAAAAACUCAUCAGGUUGAACGUAGUUCUCUAGGCAAAGAAAUUUUAAAAUAAAAGGACCAGAUCCUCAGAAAUCUGUCUUGAACCUGGCCUGGUGCAUAGUGUGAGAAUGAGAUAAAAGCAGUAAGGAUGAAAGGAAGCAGAUUCCACAGUACUGUCUCUGGACCCUGGACACCGUACCUCCUCUGGAAGCGUCAGUGUUUUUUGUUUAGAGUCAGUGAUAUUUUAAGACUGGAGGAAGAUGAGACCCAGAGAAAUUAAAUGACUUACCCAGGGUCAGAAGAGCAAGUGAAAAGGAAGCCUGGACGCAGCCCCAAGUCUUCAAAUAGAGCACGCUUGCUUCAUAGCACACUGACCCUCAGUCUUCUGGAGAAGUGAGUUGGGGCUCAAAUUUUAAUCUACCUUUGGAUUCCUUAAUUUGGAAACUGGAGUGGAUUCAAAACGAGACUGCAGGAAUUGAGAUGGGGAAACUGAGGCCAGGGCAGAGAAGCAGCUUUCCCAAAGUCAACCAGCCCAUUAGCGGUAGAUGCAGAACCAAGCAGCAGAGAAAAUGCGGGGGUGCUCUCGCUGCAGAGAGGGUUUGGGGCUCUCUGGAUGCAGCACUUUCUCAGCAACAGGGGCCUCACGUACAACCGAUAUGAAUUCUGUGUUUCCAAAUAAAACACAGAUCCAGUAUACGCUCAAUGAAAAUUAAUUUCGGUGAGGAUCGCACUUAAAGUGUUUAUGGAUUUUGUGUGUUUCACUUGGUAAUUUAAUGCUGUUUUACAUUGAGUGUUGAUAUUGAAUUGAUGAAGUGGGUUUUUUUUAAGAUAGGAAAGAAAGGCCAUAAAUAUAACUAUUUCCUAGCCUUUUACCUUCCACAAGAGUAACACUUGAUAACUGAUGAUAACACAAAACUGUGUAAAGUAGCAGAGAAUAGAUAAUGACACAGUUGGGGAAAUGUCAGUGAUAAAGGGAGAAGGUGGGGAAAACACAGCUAUGGUACAGAGGUCUGUAUCUGAUCUUCAGGUCAUGAUGCGUUAGAGACUCAUGCAUGUGUCAUCAUAUUGCAAGGAAUUCAAGGCUGGAGUCUCCGACUAUUGUCUAUUUUUUUUUUCCCCUGCUUUUUAGGGCCGCACCCUCGGCGUAUGGAAGCUCCCAGGCUAGGGGUUGAAUAGGAGCUUCAGCUGCCAGCCUACACCACAGCCACAGGAAUUUGGGAUCUGAGCAGCAUCUUCGACUUACACUAAAGCUGACGGCAACGCCGGGUCCUUAACCCACCCAGCAAGGCCAGGGAUUAAACCUACAUCCUCAUGGAUACUGGUUGAAUUCAUUACUGCUGAGCCAUCAUGGGAAUUCCAUAUUGUCUUUUUAAUACCAUCCUACCACACUAAGCUCAGCCUCAUAGAAACCCUUAAAAUAUGUUGCCAAAUGAAUAGGAGAAGGAAUUGAAUGAUGGUGAACUAGUAGGAAAAGAGAUAGGGGAGGGUGAGAAAGGAAAAUGAAAUGAAGGCGUGGAGGAAGCCUUUAUGGGACUGGUGUGUUAAGAAGGGGUCGGUGUCACAGAGGAGAGUGGCAUGGUUUGGCAGGCAGGCCACAAGGUGACCAAGUACAGAUGGUGGCAGGGCAAACACAGAGUGCUGGAGGGAUGGAAUUUAAAGCUGGCACACACGAGAAACUACCCAUCCAGCUUUACACUGAAACCAUCUCAGAUGGAUACGUGGUUCUCUGUUCUAAUUUCAUUCAUUCAUGUUUUAUCUGUUCAUGAUUCAUUCAAUGAUUCCAAAAAGAUUUGUUGCUUCUUAAUAAUACUGAUACUAAUGACCACCAGGGUCUGGAGUGCCUGUUGUGUGCCGUUCCCUCAUUGGACAGCGGAGGAGCUGGAGCUCAGAGAGGCUGGGUGACUAGCCUAAGGUCACACAGCUGGGAUUCAAAUCCACGCCUGCUUCCUGCCAGCUCUCUUCGAGUCACAGUCAAGUUGCAUAAAGUGAGCCCUUAUUCCGACAGGUUCUGAUGGAGCUGCUGCAAACCUCCCCGCUGUCUGUUCUCUCACUUCCUCCGGGGAAUCUGGUUCUGCUCAGCUCUGCCUCCCACUUUCUGCAUGAUGUUGGUCAAGUCACUUCAUAUCUAGGGGGUCACAUCUCUUCAUCAGUGAAAUGCGAGGUGUCUGCCGAACCUCCUUGUCACUCUGAAAUUCCACGAAUCUGACACUGGCUACCCCUUCCUUUCUGCUGGGGGGACACAGGAAGCCUCCCAUUUCUCUCCUGAGCUCUGCCGCUUGAUCCAGGCUUUGCUUCUCAGUAGAAUCAGCCUUGCCACCUGAUACACAUUAUUCUUAGCAGAAGCAUCCUUGGCUUUCUUCAGGCUGUGAAGGCAAACCUCUCAAAGGUUACACCCCCAGCUUUCCUUAAAGCAAGAUGCAUCUCUUGCCCGAGUGUUGGCCAAUGAGAUGGAAGGGGGUCAGGUUUUUAGGAGAGUCCGUUUCACCUUCCACCUUCCUGCUGCCUGAAAGACAGCUCUGAUGACCAGAGUCCCGGCAGCCAUCUGGAGCCAAAGGAGACUGCAGCUUGAAUCCAGGUGCUAAGAAUGGUGGCACAGAAAGAGAGGGAGAGCCUGGGCUCAGGUGACCUUGAAGCCACCAGACCAGCUCUGAACUUCCUACCUCCAGACUGGUUUUAGGUGAGAGAAAAAAUAAGCCCUUACAAAUUUAAGUCUCUGUUCUUUUGGGGUUUUUUUCUUUCUUUCUUCCUUUCUUUCUUCCUUUCUUUCUCCCUUUCUUUCUCCCUCUCUUCCUUCCUUCCUUCCUUCCUUCCUUCCUUCCUUCCUUCCUUCCUUCCUUCUUUCUUUCUUUCUUUCUUUCUUUCUUUCUUUCUUUCUUUCUUUCUUUCUUUCUUUCUUUCUUUUGUCUUUUCAGGGCCACACCCACAGCAUAUGGAGGUUCUAAUCAGAGCUAUAGCCACCAGCCUACACCAGAGUCACAGCAACACAGGAUCCGAGCCACGUCUGUGACCUACACCACAGCUCACGGCAACACUGGAUCCUUAACCCACUCUGAAAUUCAACAAAUCUGACACUGGAAUUUCAGAGCGAGGCCAGGGAUCGAACCCACAACCUCAUGGUUCCCAGUCAGAUUCGUUAACCAAUGCGCUAUGACAGGAACUCCAGGGGUUUUUUGCUAUAUGCAGGCAAAUUAAUUCUUCCUGAUAUACCUACAAACUCUUUAUCCUUUCUCAUUCCGCCCAGCUGCAAUAUUUCCCUUAGCUGUGGUGUUAAUUUGCCAUGUCCUGCUGGGCAAAUUGAUAACCUGCCGGCACCCCCCAGUCAGCAUGCACAAUGCCAGCUUCAUAAUCAUCCCUGGAAAUUUUCUCCCCUGUUCCUUUUUGCAGUAGUGGCAGUGCCACUUUUUCUGUCACUAGCGCUCAAAAACCUGGUGCCAUCUUGCAUUCCUCUUGGUCAGUUAUCAAAUCCCUUAGUUUCUCCAUUCAUUGAUCUAAUAGUUUUUGGUUUUGUUUUAUGGCUGCACCUGUGGCAUAUGGACGUUCCCAGGCCAGGGAUUGAAUCCAAGCCACAUCUGCUACCUACACCACAGCUACAGCAACACCAGAUCCUUUAACCUGUUGAACCAGGCCGGGAGUGAACCCACACCUCUGCAGUAACCCGAGCUGCUGCAGUCAGAUUCUUAACCCACUGCACCACAGCGGGAACUCCCACCUAAUGUUUUGAGGGCAUAUUAUCUCAAGAGAUGCUCGGGACCGGGGUACAAGGGUAAGUCAAACAGAUGUUUAUUUGCUGUUGAAAUGCCUGCAAUCACGGACAGGCAGUUAUCUGUUCUCACGAAGCCUGUAAUCAAGGCAGGCGUUAGCUGAAUAAUAACACAAACAAGCAAGUGCUUCACACACACACACACACACACACACACACACACACACACACACACAAAGGUGCUGAGAACUUACAGCGGGGGCCAGGGCAGGCUUUAACAGAGCUGAAACCUGAAGCAUAAUUGGAGCUAAUGAGGUAAAGAGCAGAGAGGGCUCUGAGUGGCAGGGGCACAUUUGGGGCAGAGGAAACAUCAGGUGAGAAAGCCCAAGGAACGAAGGGCAGCGUACAGCCUCUGGGUUAAGAGAAGGCUGUUGACUGAGGCACGAGGAGCCUCGAGGGUUCCAAGAGGCAUAGGCAGGGUGCAAGCAGGUCGAGGAUUUUAAGCUUCACCCUAAGAUCAACAGGAAGCUGUUUGCAGGGUUUUAAGCGGCAAAGAGAGGGUAGGCAGUGCGGUGUCCUUCCUAAUCCUCUUCUCUUCUUAAUUUCCUCUGCUGUUACACGUGUUCCCUGUUACCUGCUUCUCUUCCUGAAAGUCACCCUCCACAAACUGAGCAUCGUUUUUCCACAUCUCAAGCCUAUUCUUAAAAGUCUUCAUGAGGGUGUUCCCUGGUGGCCUUGGGGUGAAAGGAUCCAGCAUUGUCACUGCUGUGGCUUGGGUUGCUGCUGUGGCCUGGGUUUGAUUCCUGGCCUGGGAACUUCUACAAGACAUGGAUGCAGCCAAAAUGUUUUUUAAAAGUCUUCACAAGCCUCUCAUUUCCUGCCUGAUGAAAUUCAAGUUCCCAGGCCAGAGGUCAAGUUCCCAGGCUGUGACUCCGGCCACUCUCCCCCAUCCCCGUGCUUCCUGCUCCCUGUGCCCUUCCCCAUGCUCCUCCCUGGGACCAGGAAUAUCAUUUUCUUGAAGAACCAUCUGUCGAAACCUCUGUCCUUCAAGACUCUGCUCCAAGUCCUCUCUCCCCAAAGUGCUGCCUGCUCUCCUCUUCCCAAAGCCUCCUUUGCUCCUGUGUCUCUGAGCCUCACCAGGAACUUGUCACUAUCUGCAUUUGAGGGCAAACCUGAUGACCUGAUGGGAGGAUCCUUUCUGCCCCCACAGGUCCCACUGUGCCCAGCUUAGAACAAGAGGCUCAGUAAAUGUCAACUCACAGAGUUCCCAUCAUGGCACAGUGGAAACGAAUCUGACUAGGAACCAUGAGGUUGCAAGUUCGAUCCCUGGCCUCACUCAGUGGGUUAAGGAUCCAGUGUUGCUGUGAGCUGUGGUGUAGGUUGCAGAUGUGGCUCGGAUCCCAAGUGGCUGUGGCUGUGGUGUUGGCCGGCAGCUGUAGCUCCAAUUUGACCCCUAGCCUGGGAACCUCCAUAUGCCAUGAGUGCGGCCCU
rnacentral:lncRNA from 1 species